UGGGCAACCUGCCCCCGGCUCUGGGAUAACUCCAAGAAAUUGGGGCUAAUACCGGAUAUGACCGCUGACCGCAUGGUCUGGUGGUGGAAAGUUUUUCGGCUGGGGAUGGGCCCGCGGCCUAUCAGCUUGUUGGUGGGGUAGUGGCCUACCAAGGCGACGACGGGUAGCCGGCCUGAGAGGGUGACCGGCCACACUGGGACUGAGACACGGCCCAGACCCCUACGGGAG
rnacentral:rRNA from 1 species